UUCGCAAUGCCCGAAAGGGUGACGAAGCGACGCCGCGUGCGGGAAGAAGGCCUUCGGGUUGUAAACCGCUGUCGGGAGUUAGGAAGUGCAAGGAUGUUAAUAGCGUUCUUGCUUGACUAAGGCUCCGGAGGAAGCCACGGCUAACUCUGUGCCAGCAGCCGCGGUAAUACAGAGGCGGCAAGCGUUGUUCGGAAUUAUUGGGCGUAAAGAGCACGUAGGCGGCUGUGUAAGUCGGUUGUGAAAGCCUUCCGCUUAACGGAAGAACGGCAUCCGAUACUGCAUAGCUUGAGUGCGGGAGGGGAGAGUGGAACUUCUGGUGGAGCGGUGAUAUGCGUAGAUAUCAGAAGGAACACCGGCGGCGAAGGCGACUCUCUGGUCCGUAACUGACGCUGAGUGUGCGAAAGCUAGGGGAGCAAACGGGAUUAGAUACCCCGGUAGUCCUAGCCGUAAACGAUGGGCACUAAGUAGAGGGGUUUU
rnacentral:rRNA from 1 species